rnacentral:rRNA from 1 species
UACGGAGGGUGCAAGCGUUAUCCGGAAUCACUGGGUUUAAAGGGUGCGUAGGCGGCCUGUUAAGUCAGUGGUGAAAUGCCGACGCUCAACGUCGGAAUUGCCAUUGAUACUGGCGGGCUUGAAUCAGAAUGAGGUAGGCGGAAUGUGGCAUGUAGCGGUGAAAUGCUUAGAUAUGCCAUAGAACACCAAUUGCGAAGGCAGCUUACUGGCACUGCAUUGACGCUGAGGAACGAAAGCGUGGGGAUCAAACAGG